ensembl:snRNA U6 U6 spliceosomal RNA
GUGCUUGGUUUGGCAGCACAUAUAUUGAAAUCAGAAUGAUACAGAGGUUAGCAUGGCCGCUGCACAUGGAUGAUACAGAAAUUCAUGAACUGUUCUUUU